rnacentral:rRNA from 1 species
UACGGAGGGGACUAGCGUUGUUCGGAAUUACUGGGCGUAAAGCGCACGUAGGCGGAUUUGUAAGUCAGGGGUGAAAUCCCGGGGCUCAACCUCGGAACUGCCUUUGAUACUGCAAAUCUCGAGUCCGGAAGAGGUGAGUGGAAUUCCUAGUGUAGAGGUGAAAUUCGUAGAUAUUAGGAAGAACACCAGUGGCGAAGGCGGCUCACUGGCCCGAUACUGACGCUGAGGCACGAAAGCGUGGGGAGCGAACAGG